rnacentral:rRNA from 1 species
GGAGUCUGGGCCGUGUCUCAGUCCCAAUGUGGCCGUUCAUCCUCUCAGACCGGCUACCGAUCGUCGCCUUGGUAGGCCGUUACCCCACCAACCAGCUAAUCGGACGCAGGCCCAUCCCCCAGCGAUAGCUUAUAAAUAGAGGCCAUCUUUAACUAAACUUCCAUGCGGAAAUUUAGCAACAUUCGGUAUUAGCAGCUCUUUCGAGCUGUUGUCCCCCAUCAUUAUGGCAGGUUGUCUACGCGUUACUCACCCGUUUGCCACUAGAAUUUUUAGAGCAAGCUCCAAAAAUUCCCGUUCGACUUGCAUGUGUUAAGCACGCCGCCAGCGUUCGUC